rnacentral:rRNA from 1 species
CAAUAGCGUAUAUUAAAGUUGUUGCGGUUAAAAGCUCGUAGUUGGAUUUCUGUCGAGAGUGGGUGGUCCCUGUUUUGCAGGUGUAUCAAUCUGGUCUUGGCAUCUUUACUGGGGUCGAUUCUGCGAUUCAUUUCGUGGGUCGAUGCUAGUAACUUUUACUUUGAGGAAAUUAGAGUGCUCACGGCAGGCAAACGCCUUGAAUACAUUAGCAUGGAAUAAUAAUAUAGGGCCUCGGGUCUAUUUUGUUGGUUUCUAGAGCCGAGGUAAUGAUUAAUAGGGACAAUUGGGGGCAUUCGUAUUAACACGUCAGAGGUGGAAUUCUUGGAUUGUGUUACGACGAACUACUGCGAAAGCAUUUGCCAAGGAUGUUUUCAUUGAUCAAGAACGAAAGUUAGGGGAUCGAAGACGAUCAGAUACCGU